UCAAGCUACAAAGGGCUUACGGAGAAUGCCUUGGUACAUGGCGCCGAAGAAGGACGUGACAAGCUGCGAAAAGCUGCGCGGAGGAGCAAAUAUCCUAUGAAACGCAGAUAUCCGAAUGAGGGAACUCCAUACGAGUAAUAUCGUAUGAUCCGUUACUGAAUCCAUAGGUAACGGAGGGGAACCCGGGGAACUGAAACAUCUAAGUACCCGGAGGAAAAGAAAACAAAAGUGAUUCCGAAAGUAGUGGCGAGCGAAAUCGGAGGAGCCCAAACCGAAUGUAGUAAUAUAUUCGGGGUAAGGACCGCGAGAUAGCAUCAGGAAGAGUAGUCGAAUUACCUGGAAAGGUAAGACAAAGAGGGUGAAAUCCCCGUAGACGAAACUCAGAGAGAGCGAGCGGGAUCCAGAGUACGUCAGGACACGAGAAAUCCGGACGGAAGAAAUGGGGACCAUCCCAGAAGGCUAAAUACGACCAUGUGACCGAUAGCGAAGAGUACCGUGAGGGAAAGGUGAAAAGAACCCCGGGAGGGGAGUGAAAUAGAACCUGAAACCGUAAGCUUACAAGCAGACAGAGCGCCAUAGGAGUGUGAUGUCGUACUUUUUGUAGAACGGGCCGGCGAGUUACGAUGUGAUGCGAGGUUAAGUGUCAAAGACACGGAGCCGAAGCGAAAGCGAAUCUGAAGAGGGUGAGAAGUAUCAUGUCGUAGACCCGAAACCGAAUGACCUAACCAUGAGCAGGUUGAAGCAAUGGUAAAACGUUGUGGAGGACCGAACACACGCCUGUUGAAAUAGUCGGUGAUGACUUGUGGUUAGCGGAGAAAUUCCAAACGAAUUCGGAUAUAGCUGGUUCUCCUCGAAAUAGCUUUAGGGCUAGCCUCGCAUAUAAUCCUUGUCGGUAGAGCACUAAAUGGCCUAGGGGGCUUCACAGCCUACCGAAGCUUAUUAAACUCCGAAUGGCAAGGAAUUGAGUGCGGGAGUCAGACAGCGACAGCUAAGUGCCGUUGUCAAAAGGGAAACAGCCCAGAUCUACAGCUAAGGUCCCGAAGUACAGGUUAAGUGGAAAAGGAUGUGACAAUGCAUAGACAACCAGGAUGUUGGCUCAGAAGCAGCCACGCAUUAAAAGAGUGCGUAAUAGCUCACUGGUCGAGUGAUGUUGCGCCGAAAAUUAACGGGGCUCAAACCUGACACCGAAGCUUAGGAAUACGCGAAGCGUAUUGGUAGAGGAGCAAUGUAUACGAGCGGAAGCCGUACCGGAAGGAGCGGUGGAUUGUAUAGAAGAGAGAAUGCCGGCAUAAGUAGCGAGAGCGGAGCGAGAAACUCCGCCGUCGAAAGUCUGAGGUUUUCCGGGGAAGGUUCGUCCACCCGGAGUAAGUCGGGACCUAAGCGGAGGCCGAAAGGCGUACGUGAUGGACAACAGGUUGAUAAUCCUGUACUACCGAGAGAGCUAAUGAAGCAGUGACACGGAAAGAUAGAAGAAGCGCGCAGAUGGAAAAGCGCGUCCAAGCAGUGAGGGAGGCUUGUAGUAAAGUACGCAAGUCAUAAUCCUGGGCUGUGACGGGGAGUGGACCAAGGAAACGAAGUCUUUGAAUCUACGCCGGCGAGAAAAGCUGCUAAAUGUUUCGAGGUACCCGUACCGCAAACCGACACAGGUAGACGAGAAGAAAAUUCUAAGACGAACGGGAGAACCCUUGUUAAGGAACUCGGCAAAAUGACCCCGUAACUUCGGGAGAAGGGGAGCCACAGAGAUGUGGCCGCAGUGAAGAGGCCCAAGCGACUGUUUAUCAAAAACACAGGUUUCUGCUAAGGCGUAAGCCAAGGUAUAGGAGCUGACUCCUGCCCAGUGCCGGAAGGUCAAGGGGAUCCGUCAGCGCAAGCGAAGCGGUGAACUUAAGCCCCGGUGAACGGCGGCCGUAACUAUAACGGUCCUAAGGUAGCGAAAUUCCUUGUCGGGU
rnacentral:rRNA from 1 species